rnacentral:sRNA from 1 species
GCCGGGCGUUGUGGCGGGCGCCUGUGGUCCCAGCUACUUGGGAGGCAGAGGCAAGAGACUCGCUUGAGCCCAGGAGUUGGAGGUUGCUGUGAGCUGUAAUGCCACUGCACUCUACCCAGGGGGAUAGCUUGAGGCUCUGUCUCAAAAAAAAAUAAAAAAAAUAAAAUAAAUGAAAGGGCUUUUUUUUUGAGGCAAAGUCUCACUAUGUCACCCUUGGUUGAGUGCUGUGUGGCAUCACAGCUCACAGCAACCUCAAACUCUUGGGCUUAAGUGAUUGUCUUGCCU